UCACGUCUUCACUUAAAGUCUAGAUAUCAUGUUUUGGUGGAAGCUAGCGAGCUAACUUCCUGCUAACUACUAACAUCUAGUUUGUGAAACAAAGAAAUCCCUCGCAGUUUAACCAUCACAGGUAGUUUUUUCCUGUGCCUGUGUUCACGACAAAGCUCAGAACCACAGAGUAAGAUUAUUUAUAGCUCUGUGCUGAGGCUGAGCUGCAAGAUCAGACUGCACAUCUGACAGUGUGAUGUUAAAAAGCUGGAAAUCAGAUCAACCGCCAACUAAAAGUCAGCUGAAACAGACUCUACAGUAAUUAGAAAGCAGGCUACAUUAUGAGUUUUAGUACUGCUAAUUAGAGCCGUCCUUUUAAAAUGAUGCCAUCAAAGUUCACUUCACUGCUGAAAAACAGAUAGUGACCUCAGUCUUGUCACAGGGGUUAUAAAUGACACACUGUUCCUUUUGCUUCUGUCAUCUAGAGCGGGUCAGCUACUAAUACAAGGUUGCUGGUUCAAUCCCUGGCUGCUCCAGGCUUCAUGUUCCAGUAUCCUUGGGCAAGAUACUGGUCCAGAGUUGCUCCUGAUGCUUUCAUCGUUGUGUCAAUGUUAGACUGAAAACACUUUGCAACACAGUUACACAACUAAGGAUGUAGUAGACACACAGUUCUACAUGUGGAUGUCACACGUUUUAUGGAUGUAAUAGGUUGCAGUAAACUGCAAUGCCAGCAGAGGGAGACAUUUUAUUUCAAGCCAACAUGAAAACAGUCAAGGAAAACAUUUUAAGAAACAUUAUUAACAGAUUUAGAUCUGCCGCCUAGCUCAAUCAUUUCUGGCAUCUGGUAUGUACUUCAUACCUUCCUUGGUCAUUUGCAACUGUGUCUGAAUAAUUGAGACUUGCUGUAUAAAGUGUUUUGAGUCCUCAGGUAGAAUAGAGCAGAGUUUUAUAAAAACCAAUGCAUUUACCAUUUACAUUUGACUUGUAGCCUGAGUCAUUAUGACAUGUAAUGUGGACUGAUUGUUGUACAGCCAUCUCUGCUAGACUUGAGCACCCAAAAUGCUUAAUGUACAGAAUUUAAUGAGCAGGCUUCAAAAUGUUUCAUUAAUAAUCCAUUUUCCAGUUCCAUUUACUCCAAUAUUUUAAAAACCAAAACACUGGUUCACAGACCCAUGAUCAUGACAAUAACUCCAGGACCCUUGGUACACUGUUCACUUUACAUCAAGGACAUGCUAGCAGGUGAGAGUGGAGUGGGAUCUCAAAUUUAAUUUACAUUAACUGUGAUUUCUCUUUCUUCAAAGUAGAACAUUUUGAGAUUAUCUGUGGAUGAGAGAGCUGCAGGACUGUGAUGAUGGGGAAUACUUUGCUGGCAUUAUUCUUGUUCAGCACAUUCUUCUCAGGAAAUGCUGAAGCAGGUAAAGCCAGAGCCACACUGACAGCACAGAGUUCAGUCAUACCAGCAGGGGGCAGUGUGACACUGAGCUGCUCUGUGGAGGGCUCUGCUGGCUGGAAGUUUGA